rnacentral:rRNA from 1 species
CAGUAGCCGCGGUAAUACAGAGGCCUCAAGCGUUGUUCGGAUUCAUUGGGCGUAAAGGGUGCGUAGGUGGCUUGGUAAGUUGAAGGUGAAAUCUCGGGGCUUAACCCCGAAACCGCCUUCAAUACUGCUAGGCUCGAGGACUGUAGAGGAGAAUGGAAUUCACGGUGUAGCAGUGAAAUGCGUAGAUAUCGUGAGGAAGACCAGUGGCGAAGGCGAUUCUCUGGGCAGUUCCUGACACUGAGGCACGAAGGCCAGGGGAGCAAACGGGAUUAGAUACCCGAGUAGUCCCUGUCUCUUAUAC